rnacentral:rRNA from 1 species
GAUGAACGCUGGCGGCGUGCCUAAUACAUGCAAGUCGAGCGAACAGACGAGGAGCUUGCUCCUCUGCCGUUAGUGGCUGACGGGUGAGUAACACGUGGAUAACCUACCUAUAAGACUGGGAUAACUUCGGGAAACCGGAGCUAAUACCAGAGAAUAUAUUGAACCGCAUGGUUCAAUAGUGAAAGACGGUUUUGCUGUCACUUUUAGAUGAAUCCGCGCCGGAUUAGCUAGUUGGUAAGGUAACGGCUUACCAAGGCAACGAUGCGUAGCCGACCUGAGAGGAUGAUCAGCCACACUGGAACUGAGACACGGUCCAGACUCCUACGGGAGGCAGCAGUGGGGAAUCUUCCGCAAUGGGCGAAAGCCUGACGCAGCAACGCCGCGUGAGUGAUGAAGGUCUUCGGAUCGUAAAGCUCUGUUAUUAGGGAAGAACAAAUGUGUAAGUAACUAUGCAUGUCUUGACGGUACCUAAUCAGAAAGCCACGGCUAACUACGUG